AGUGAACGCUGGCGGUAGGCCUAACACAUGCAAGUCGAACGGCAGCACAGUAAGAGCUUGCUCUUACGGGUGGCGAGUGGCGGACGGGUGAGGAAUACAUCGGAAUCUACUUUUUCGUGGGGGAUAACGUAGGGAAACUUACGCUAAUACCGCAUACGACCUACGGGUGAAAGCAGGGGAUCUUCGGACCUUGCGCGAUUGAAUGAGCCGAUGUCGGAUUAGCUAGUUGGCGGGGUAAAGGCCCACCAAGGCGACGAUCCGUAGCUGGUCUGAGAGGAUGAUCAGCCACACUGGAACUGAGACACGGUCCAGACUCCUACGGGAGGCAGCAGUGGGGAAUAUUGGACAAUGGGCGCAAGCCUGAUCCAGCCAUACCGCGUGGAUGAAGAAGGCCUUCGGGUUGUAAAGCCCUUUUGUUGGGAAAGAAAAGCAGCAGGUUAAUACCCCGCUGUUCUGACGGUACCCAAAGAAUAAGCACCGGCUAACUUCGU
rnacentral:rRNA from 1 species